rnacentral:rRNA from 1 species
CACUGCCGAGAAAAGCUUCUAGCCAGAGACGGUGCACCCGUACCGCAAACCGACACAGGUAGUCGAGGAGAGUAUCCUCAGGUGAGCGAGAGAACUCUCGUUAAGGAACUCGGCAAAAUGGCCCCGUAACUUCGGGAGAAGGGGCGCUGGUCGCAAGAUCAGCCGCAGUGAAAAGGCCCAAGCAACUGUUUAUCAAAAACACAGGCAUCUGCAAAAUCGUAAGAUGAAGUAUAGGUGCUGACACCUGCCCGGUGCUGGAAGGUUAAGAGGAGAGCUUAGCGCAAGCGAAGGUUUGAAUUGAAGCCCCAGUAAACGGCGGCCGUAACUAUAACGGUCCUAAGGUAGCGAAAUUCCUUGUCGGGUAAGUUCCGACCUGCACGAAAGGUGUAAUGAUUUGGGCACUGUCUCAACGAGAGACUCGGUGAAAUUAUAAUACCCGUGAAGAUGCGGGUUACCCGCGACAGGACGGAAAGACC